UACGUAGGGGGCUAGCGUUGUCCGGAAUCAUUGGGCGUAAAGCGCGUGUAGGCGGUUCGGUAAGUCCGCUGUGAAAGUCGGGGGCUCAACCCUCGGAUGCCGGUGGAUACUGUCGGACUAGAGUACGGAAGAGGCGAGUGGAAUUCCUGGUGUAGCGGUGAAAUGCGCAGAUAUCAGGAGGAACACCGGUGGCGAAGGCGGCUUCCUGGGCCAGUUGU
rnacentral:rRNA from 1 species